GACGAACGCUGGCGGCGUGCUUAACACAUGCAAGUCGAACGGAAAGGCCUUAUCGGAGGUACUCGAGUGGCGAACGGGUGAGUAACACGUGGGUGAUCUGCCCUGCACUCUGGGAUAAGCCUGGGAAACUGGGUCUAAUACCGGAUAGGACCGCACUUUAGUGUGUGUGGUGGAAAGUUUUUUCGGUGUAGGAUGAGCCCGCGGCCUAUCAGCUUGUUGGUGGGGUAAUGGCCUACCAAGGCGGCGACGGGUAGCCGGACUGAGAGGUUGGUCGGCCACAUUGGGACUGAGAUACGGCCCAGACUCCUACGGGAGGCAGCAGUGGGGAAUAUUGCACAAUGGGCGCAAGCCUGAUGCAGCGACGCCGCGUGGGGGAUGACGGCCUUCGGGUUGUAAACUCCUUUCGCCAGGGACGAAGCGUUUUGUGACGGUACCUGGAGAAGAAGCACCGGCUAACUACGUG
rnacentral:rRNA from 1 species